AACGAACGCUGGCGGCAUGCCUAACACAUGCAAGUCGAACGAAGCCUUCGGGCUUAGUGGCGCACGGGUGCGUAACGCGUGGGAAUCUGCCCUUAGGUACGGAAUAACUCAUGGAAACGUGUGCUAAUACCGUAUGAUGUCUUCGGACCAAAGAUUUAUCGCCUAGGGAUGAGCCCGCGUUGGAUUAGCUAGUUGGUGAGGUAAAGGCUCACCAAAGCGACGAUGGAUAGCCGGUCUGAGAGGGCGAUCGGCCGACACUGGGACUGAGACACGGCCCAGACUCCUACGGGAGGCAGCAGUGGGGAAUAUUGCGCAAUGGGGGGAACCCUGACGCAGCGACGCCGCGUGAGCGAAGAAGGCUUUCGAGUUGUAAAGCUCUGUAAUAAGGGAAGAAUGCUGUAUAUACGAAGAGUAUAUGCAGCUGACAGUACCUUAACAACAGCCCCGGCUAACUACGUG
rnacentral:rRNA from 1 species